rnacentral:lncRNA from 1 species
AAGGACUGUGAUAUCACUGUUGUCAUAUUUGCUAUACUAAGUAAACAGGAUAAAGUCAGCAUUAUUUGAAGCCUAAAGGUCUGGGAAGUGCAAAGACUAGAGAGUAUGGCAGAGAAAAGGUUUAAAGGAUCUCCAUUUGGAGCACAGUCCGCAAGGUUUGAUGUGUCUGGUGUGCAGCCAGCAAGGAAGACGCAUACUUACACAGAGAUGCUCUAUGGCAAGAAGAGAACUUCUGAACUGGAGAGAAAGCUGGGACCGGGCACUUAUAAUGCAGACUCUGGCGAUUUCAGCGCUAGAGCCGUGCAGGAGCGAGCAAAGGGACCUGGCUGGAAGAGGGCACAGGAGAUGGCACAGUUUUCCAAGACUCCCCCUGUCCUGUUCUGUGCUGCCUG